rnacentral:lncRNA from 1 species
UCGGCCUUAACUGUUGCGCGAGGCCAACCUUUAUACGUAGGAUUAAAUACUCUUCUAAUAUAAUGAAUCCAUGCAGGAUUAGAAGCAAAAGAACAAGGCAAACACAUAACAGUAAUUAUUUUCGCUAAUUCUUCACGAUCCUUAUUUGGAUGGUAAUAUAAUAUACCUUUGGUGACUGUGUUUAUUCCUGGUUGAACUAGAUUUGAACCAGUACUUGGGUUAACUGUAGAAUCAGC